GGAUGCAAACAUACCAACACUAAAGCAUCGCAUCCCAUCAUAACUCCGAAGUUAAGCGUGCUUGGGAGAGAGUUGUACUAGGAUGGGUGAACUCCUAGGAUGUCCUCGUGUUGCAUUAC
rnacentral:rRNA from 1 species